UGGAAAGUAUCAGCAUAAAGACUGUUUUUCUCAUUCAAGAGAUUUAGUAUCUAUAGUUCUUACAAGAACAUUAUGAGAAACUGUUUGAGGCCUUGCCCUGCUCCAUCCAAAGCAAGGUCAUAGAAACUUCUCACAACU
rnacentral:snoRNA from 1 species